CUACAGCAACAUCCUCUCUUUUCUGCCUGUCUCUUUUCAUGGAUAUUAAUUUUAAUCUUUAUCAGCUUUCGCCUGCCUAUGUAAAUUGUUCUCCAUCUUGUUUCCCUCAUCCAAAUUUGUCUCAAUUCGGACUUCCACAACAGGGAGCUUAAUACUAUUUUACUUUUUUCUUUCUGCUUAAAGUGUAUUUUACUUUUAAGUAAAGUGUAAUUUUCUUUACUGCUUAAAGUGUAUUUUACUUUUUUCUUUCUGCUUAAAACACGUUAAUGCUUGGGAAAUGUGAUGGAGGCAAGAGUUGAAGAGGUACUCAUUGUAGUUUAUUGCAGCACAGGCAAAAGAUAAUGCUAGAUGGAAGAUGAUUUUUCAUGGAUGUGAUUGAACAUGACUUUGGAAGUUUUCCUCCAUGUGAGUUUCAAGGUAGUGUUAAAGUAAAUAAGAAGGAGGCCAUUACAUACAGAGAUUGUCUCUGUAGCACAAGCUCUCAUAUUAGCAAAACCAGGACUUCACUUAAAAAACAUUUCUUGUAACUAAGAAAAGAAAAAGGGGGCCUCAGCGAGUCACCACCAAUCAACCAGCCAAUUCAUUAUACAACUAGAAACCUCCCAUCAGAACGUGCCCAAGUAAGGUAAAUGCCUCAUCACAUUGUGCAGAAAUAAGGCAGCCAUCUAGCUGUGUCUAAUCAGAGUAUACUCCUUCUACUUAAAAAAAAGGUAACUGUAAGACAACCUCAGGCAAGUCCUUCAGGAGGUAUUCCAGGAGAAGGCAUUGUUAUCAAGGAUGAAAACUCCUCGGGUGUUACUACCUCUGAAAACCCUCCACUGGGACAAGACAUGGAGAUGGAAGAUAGUUCUAUUGAUGAUCCUGACCAUAUAGAUGUGAUUGAUGUGACCAACCACAGAAGACCUCCUGAUACUAGACGGGAUUGAAUGACCAUACCGGAUGUCAGUAGUGGAUAGAGAGUGUGUACAAGGUAAAUAAAGUAUUUCCCUGAUCUUGUUGCUUUCAGGAGCUAUAGACCAGAGGCAGCACCUCAGUGGGAACAUGGACCAGGAAAACCCAGUGAAAGGACCCAUACACAUGACUUGAGACCACAAGUCGGAGGUGGUCUUUAGGUAAUCCAGAAUCCUCAUCUCUUCUUGUGUCUGACAUGAGUAAAAGUCAUCUAAAUUCAUUAUUUCGGCACUAUUUAUGCAGCUAAUUUUCUGCAGCUUCAUGAAAGACAUUCUGUUCUGGCCGUGGAAUGCAAACAAUCAUCUUACCAGGUUUCCCUUCUGGAACUGGGCCUGGUGUUGGGACUUUGACUGGGACCACCCCAAAAACAUAAUUCUGGGACUGUGUUGGGAAAUCUGUUGGAUCCUAUAUAUGGAGACACAGUGUCAGAGAGCUCUAUUAUGGAUCCAGGUCUGGGCUUGCACUGCCCCACGUGGAUAUCCCUGCUGGCUUUGGCUAAUCUCAAAUGCUGGAGAGGAACUUCAAUAUUUUUAGAAAGACACUCAAGCUUAGGGGCCCAUGAGGCAUGGGGCUUGCGCUGGGGUUCCUGCUUACUCAAGAAGGUUUGAAAAGAGAAAAUGACCUGGGCCUCUCUUGGACCGAGUUAUAUCCUUAUAGAAUAAUUUCUGCCCCUUUAUAAAUGAAAUAUCUGAGUAAUAAGCCAUCCAAAACUUCUUUGCCCAAAAUAACUUUUGGAUAAUUAUAAGUGAUAUUAAAGUACAAUCUAAAUGUGUUUUAAUCCCACAUAUGACUGCUACAAUCAUGUAGCAGUUAAUAAAAAAAAUUGAUAAUCAAAUUAUAGAAAAACAGCUCAUUUAAAAUGUCAGUUUUAAAGUAAUGAUUAAUCUUCAAUACUAAAUAGCAAUUAUAUGCAUUUUAAGUAGUUCAGAUAAAGAUUGCGUGUUUAGGAGAAAGUAUUUCCAGCCUUUCACAAAUGUUUUCAGAAAUGUGAAGUUGGAAAUAUAAACUGUUAUAAUGUGCACAAUUACAUAACUCCUAAAAAGUAUUUUAAACUCUUUAUAUGUAUUCAUCCUCUUAGAGCUGUUAUGUGGUAGAGAUGCUAUUAUGCUGAAUAAGUACUUAAACAUUUCUAUGGAAAUAUAAACCAAAGCAAAACAUUAAAUCUUCCGGUGCCUUGUAAGUAAGAUAAUAAGCACAGAAAUUUGUAGCAUACUUAAUAUCAUUUUCUCCACCCUGUACUUUAUCUUCAAUAUUCAUUUUUUAUUAGAUCUGGUUGAUUUUUACUUCCUUGGUGUUUGGCAAAUAGUUUUUUUCUUCUGUGCAUCUCACAUACGACUUAGUUUAGAAUUCAAUUCUAUUUAUUCCAUCUUGCUCUUUGCCUGCUCUCAUCCUUUGGGACACAUUUUCCUCAGUUUUCUAAAAACACAAAUAGAUCAUGCUACUUCUCUUCAAAUUCUUCAAUAAAUCCUAAUAUCCUUCAAAUUCAAAGCCAUUCAUCAAAGGUAAAUCUGGCAUAUAUUGGUGAUCUGGCACACACUGAAUUUUCUUGUCUCAUUCUAUUAAUGUAUCAUUCAUCUAUCCAUUCAUAUUUAUGAACUGCUGGUUUUCUGUCAUACACUAUUAUACGCCUGGGGAUAUAGCAUUAGCCAGGACCAUGGUUCUUGUUCUUAUGUGACUGUUGGGCUAGUAGAAAAAAAAUACAAUGAAAACAAAAUCAGAUAGAAAAGAUAAUUUUGAAAAGUGAUACCAAUCUUAAAAAAUAAUUAAAUGAGGCAGUUUGAAGGUAAUGAAGUCUAAAAAGGAGGGAUAGCCUGAAAAAGCUUUCUGGAAAGAGAGACAUCUGAGCUAAGACAUGAACUGAAAUAGCCAACCAUGCAAAGAUAAAGAUCCUCUCAGGCAAAGGGAAGAUAAGUUUCAAAGUCUCUGAAGCAUGGGUAAACUAGGUUUGUUCAAGAAGCAGAAACAGUAAGUCAGAGGCAUAAUCAAAAGAAAACUGGUAGGAAAAGAGAUUGAAAUGGAAGGGAGGGCCUAGGUUUUGCAGAAUAUUAUUUCUAUUUUCACAAAUUAUUCUUUAUAUAGUCCUGCAUUGACAGCUCCUUUGAAUAUAUCACACCAGCCCAACUCUUUCUCUUUGUUGUGUUAGAAGAAUCAGGGUGGUUUCGUUUCCUCUCAUAAUCCAUAACCCUUACUUGUACUGAAUGUUCCAUUUAGGUGUUUCUUCCAUUUAUCAUGAACAUAACACUUAAUGUGAUGCUUCAAAACAUAAAUUUCCAUUUUCACCCCUUUCUUGAGCUCUUUUUAAUAACUAAGAUGGUGUUUUUGAUACCUUUGCAUUAUUUCAAUUAUGUAGCCCAUUUUAAGUACUCUGAGAAUCUUUAAUAAUGAGGAUCUUUAAUAAUUUUUGAUAAGAAAAUCAAUUAAUUAAUAUACAAAACAAAGAAAAAAGAUAAUGUGAGCCCACAAUAAACCACUUUGUUUAAUAUAACUGUUUUGAUUAAGCAACUCAAUAUCUUGAUAUUUAACCCCUUUGUUUGAACCAAUUUCUCCCAUUUGGAACAGGACCAUUUACCCAAUGCCUGUACCCCCAUUGUAUCUUGGAAGUAGCUAACUUUUUUUUUUUCUAUUUUACAGGCUUAUAGGCAUAAGGGACUUGUCUUUUCUCAGAUGAGACUUUGGACUGUGGACUUUUGAGUUAAUCCAUACUUUUAGAACCUUGUUGUCAAUACAUACCACUAGAUGCAUCUUUUUUUCUCUUCAGUAGAAAUUUUCAGAGCAAAACACACAAUGCUCUGACAAGAUAAACAUUUAUAUAUACAAAUAAAGAAAUUGAAGUAUAAUAAUGUUUUGAAAAAUGAUUGCCAUAUUGAUAUGGUUUGGCUUCAUGUCCCCACCUCAUUUUGAAUUGUAAUUCCCAGUGUUUUGUGGGGGCUGGUGGGAGGUUAUUGGAUCACAAGAGAGGGUUUCCCCUUGCUGUUCUGCUGAGUGUGUUCUCACAAGUUCUGAUGCUUUAAAAGUGUGAGGGACUUUCCCCUUCCCUCUCACUCGCUCCUGCUGUCAUGUGAAGAUAUGUUUGCUUCCUCUUCACCUUCCACCAUGAUUGUAAGUUUUCUGAGGCCUCCCAGGAAUGACUCCUGUACAGUCUAUAGAACUGUAAGUCAAUUAAAUCUAUUUUUUCAUAAAU
rnacentral:lncRNA from 1 species